GGGGCAUUAACGCAGUUGGGAGCGUGUCACACUGGCAGUGUGGAAGUCAGGGGUUCAAGUCCCCUAUGCUCCACCA
rnacentral:tRNA from 1 species